AUAGCUGUUGGACUGAGAUUUCCUCCCCCUCUGACUUUUACUAAAUCCCAUGUGUGAAACAGACUGAAGUUUUCAUGUUGCUAUAAACUGAGAAAAUACUACCGUGUGCUGACAAGAGUGGCUGUUUUAAAAUGCGCUUGAUAGCACUUCUGGUUUUCCAUCAUGGAUCUCCUUUUGUAGAAGCUGUAACAUAGACUUCUUCCUUUUAUUAAAUGUAAUUACUCAAGAGACUACCUUUAUCCUGAGCCUGCAAUUUACACUUAUCCUCUGGCAAAGGAGAGGUGGGAUUCAUUUCACCUGAUUUCUAGCUGUCAAAAAAAUAUUUUCCUAGUCUGAGCUUACUUCUUAGUUGAUCCAAUGAAUGGGAGAGUUCUGCAGAAAGAAAAUUGUUCCUCCCUCCCUCUUAUAGUGUUGUGGCUAUAGAAAAGUAGUUUAAACUAAGUGCCUAUGUUUUAGAAGGCUAAUGUGGAGUAAGAAUUCCAUCUCCUAUCUUCCUUUGAUAAAAUCCAAAGCUUGGAAAAGUUUUCCUUUACCCAUCUUUAACUUGUUUCUUUUUCCUUCCGCACCCCUCCUCCAGGGAAGCUUAUGCUAGAGGAAAGAAGGAAAAGCCUCCCUUUUUACCAGAGGAGCCAUCCUUCUCCUCAGAUGAUGAGGAUCCUGUUCCAGACAAGUUGUUACAUCUCAUUUGUAAGGAUAUAAUGAUUGAUGCAGCUGUUAUUCCCUGCUGUGGAAACAGUUAUUGUGAUGAAUGUAUUAGAACAGCAUUACUGGAAUCUGAGGAACGUAUGUGCCCAACGUGUCAGGAGACAGAUAUCUCGCCUGAUGCUUUAAUUCCCAACAAGUGCCUACGCCAGGCUGUGAACAACUUCAAAAAUGGAACUGGCUACACAAAAAAGCUCCAUCAGCAGAUUCGGCGGCAACAGCAGCAGCAGCAGCAGCCGCCGCGGCCUCCACCACCACUCAUGACAGUUACACCUGCCGCUGCUCUGGUGAGUGCCGCUGAAGCAUCUACAUCUUCCUCUCUGUCAAUCAGCAGUUUGUUGGAAGAGAAGGUAAGCUUUCUUUCAACAUAUGCAGUGACUCUUCUAUUGUAGUAGAGC